rnacentral:lncRNA from 1 species
UGGGCAUCGCCUCGGCCAGGCUGGCGGAGCUGACGGCGGCCCUGGAGCGGCUGCGGGAGGAAGGUGGGGAGAAGGAGCGGGCGGUGGCGGCGCUGACGCUGCAGCUGCAGAAGAUGGAGGCCUCGCGUGCCCAGGAGCCAUCAGUGGAAGAGGUGCAGGGGCUGCGCGCAGAGGUGGAGCUGCUCCACCAGACGCUGCAGGACGUCACCCAGGCGGUGCUGGCCGAUGACCCCGGGUCCCCGACGGAGCCUCCCAGGCUCCCCUGCCGCAGCCUCUCACCCGCUGCGGCCGCGGCCACGCUGGGGGCUGUGCACGGAGCCCUGCGGCGCCGGCACUUCCAGCUGCAGGUGAGCGAGGAGGAGGAGGAGGAAGAUGGACGUGGGGGAAGACGGAU